rnacentral:rRNA from 1 species
AUGCAAGUCCCGUAUAUUGUGGGUGGGGACUUUAAUAUUCUUAGACAUCCUGGGGAGAAAAACAAGAAGAUGACUAGUCACAAAUCUUCUGAUAAAUUCAACUCCAUUAUUAAUACCCUAGCACUUAGAGAAAUUCACAUUAGUGGUGGAAAGUACACUUGGACUAAUAACCAAACCCAUCCCACUUUGGAGAAGCUUGAUCGCAUCCUGAUGCCUGAAUCCUGGGAGGAUUUAUUCCCUUUGGUCUCUGUCAGAAAGUUGGUUCGUGAGAUUUCAGACCAUAAUCCCCUGCUGUUGUCCACGGGUGAGGAGGAGUGUGAGGCUCUGAAACCAAGAGAGUUUCGGUUCGACCUAUCUUGGGUGAAAGAUGAUAGAUUCCUGUCGUUGGUCCAGAAAAUUUGGUCUCGUAGGGUUUUUUCUUCUGAUCCCAUUGAUGUUUUAAACAUGAAGCUCAAGUGGUUUAAGUCUUAUUUUAAAGGGUGGGGUUCGGAUAGAUUUGGUCAUGAUAAGAAAAGAAAGGAAGACCUUCGGAUGGAGUUGGAGAUGCUAGAAGAAGUAGAAGAAGAUGCCCCUCUGUCCCCUGAGCUAUAUAGUAGAAAGAUUGAUAUUUGUUUUGAGCUUCAUGAGCUGCUUGUCAAUGAGGAAAUCUUUUGGUUACAACAAUCGCACGAGCGAUGGUAG